CUUCCUUGAGCGGUUCUGACCCAGCAAUUAGCACAGUAAGCAAGCCAUCUGAUCUCACACUUUUUGGUCCAAACUUCUGGAAGCUCUGAAUGCUACAUUAUGUGCCAACAUGGAACUUUGCAGAUGUGAUCAAGGAUCUUGAGGUGGGGAGAUGAUCCUAGACUAUCCAA